UUCACCUCCACCACAUCAUAAGGAACCUCAUCAACAGCACUACCAUCACCUUUACUGCUACCACUCACCGCCAUUACUACCACCACCACCACCACCACCAUCACUACUACCACUUCUCUGACUACCAGCAGUGAAUGUCAGCCAAUCAGCAAAGAGUGUGUGUUGUCAGGAGGAAAUACAUCUUUAAUGCACUCCUUGCACUAAAGAUGUAUUUGUUGAACUGGCAGCAAUCGCUCUAUGCUGUCAGAUCAACUGGAGUUAGUUGACAAGGACGCUUCCCUUUCGUAGCAUCUUAAAUAAUUUAUCUUCUUUCUUUCUCUCUUUUUUAUCUUCUUCUUUUCUUUGUUCACUUCCUCUUCUGUUUCUGACUCUUUUUUCAUUUUUUCCUCUUCUAUUAUACCGUCUUCAUCCGAUUCUCGUCUCCCAUCUCUCUGCUACCGACUGUCGUCUUCCAUCUCUUUUUUUUUUUUCUGCCUUCACUAUUUUUUCCUCCCUUUUCUGUCUUCUGUUAUACUCUCUUCUCUCUUCACUUCUCUUUCUGUAACUCCUAGUCUAUUUUUUUUCUUUUCCCCUCUUCCUUCAUUUAUCUUUCACCUUCUCUCUCUUCUCUUUGUCUUCUACCUUUCUCUGUCAUUUGUUCUCUGUUCUAAUUAUAAAUAUUCUCUUUUCAUCUAUUAUCUCCCUAGUUUUGUGCUGUCUUCGUUUCUCGUGUCUACCUUAUUCUAUCUUCGAUUCCCUUCCGACUUGCCAACUUCAUUCUUCUUUCUCCAUCUUAUGCUCUCUUUCACACAUGUUUUCUUGUGUCUUCUUCUCCUACUUCUCUCUUCUUUCCAUGUUCUCCUCUUGUUACUCCAUCUCUUUUCUUUCAUCUCUGCUCUUAAAUGUUGUCUCCCACCCACAACUUUUCUGUUACUCUACCUCUGUAGUCAACUGCUCUUUUACCUUUCCUCUGUUCACAAUAUUCUAAUUCCUGUCUUUGUCUUAUGUCUACUUUUCUAUUCAUGAGACUCUCUUGCCCUUUACAAUCAUAGUUUUAUCUCUUUUCCCUAAUUUUCUAACUCAGAUGUCUAGUCUCCUUGCUCUUUCUUCUUCUCAUCUUUUCUCUACCACAUCCUCUCUAAUCUAUAUUCUAUCUUUUCUCUUCCAUGUCCCAUGUAUACUUUAUAUUCUGUAUCCAAUCGUCUGCCCUCUGAAUUUUGUGCCCAAUAUUUUGUCCCGUCUUUUCUGUAUGCCAUCUUCAUCACCUAUCUUCUGUGUCCCGUAUUCUUUCCCGUUUAUUUUCUGUGUAUCAUAAUCUGUCCCCCAUCUUCUAUCCUGUCUUUUGUCCUCUGUCAUUUGUCUGUCACUUUCUGCCAUCUAACUUCUAUUGCCCAGCUACUGGCUUCUCAUCUUUUCUCAAAAACUUCUCAAAUCUUAGAUCUUUUCUCCCCUCUGUCUUCUCUAUCAUGUCUACUAUGCCAUCUGUUCAUUUAUUCUAUUCCACAUCCUCUAUGUCUUUUCUGCUUUUCUUCCUCUCUAUUCUCUUUUCUGACUUCUGUGAUCUCUCUCUUCUCUUUCAUUGUUUUCGUCUCCUCUCUUCUCAAUUCGUCUGUUAUGACCUCUCUUCUCUCUUCUCGAUUUUCUGUACUCUUUGUAUCCUUUGAUACUCCCUUUCUUCUGACAUUAACAUCUGACAUAUACCCCUUCCUCCUUCUCCUUUCUUUACUCCUUCUAUGCCCCAUCCUCCUUCUCAUACUCCUCUUUUACGUCCACCAACUCUUCUUUCUCUCCCCCUCUUUUGUUUUCUCCUUCCCUACAAUCUAUCUAUCUAUCUAUCUGUCUAUCUAUUUAUCUAUCUGUCUGUCUUUCUUAGCCAUUCACCCACUCUGUUUACUUGUCUUAUCACUCAGAAAGAAGUUACUAUUUAGCACCAAAAGAUGAAAACAGGAAGACACUUUUCUAUGAUCGCUGACCUGUGUGAAUUUAAACACACCUCAGAUCGUUUAACUUAUCCGCCAUGCCAACAUUUUGCCGAAGCUUCACUAAGAACAUUUCACUUGUAUUCUUUCAUAUAAUGGAGGAUGCAGAGUAAAUUUCAUAUUUUAAGGCACUGUCUAACAAGGUAACAUCAUUUCCACUAUUAUCUAAAAUUUCAUUUUUCUUCUUUUUUUUUUUUUUUGCUGCAGCAUUGCAAACUAAAAGAACAAAAUAGGGGUAGUGCAAGAUUUGUGGGAUAGAAGCAGAUGCUAUCAAGCAGAAUAUACUUAAAGCAAAGUAAAAACAGACCAGAUAAAACCAGCAAUUUCUCAACUGGUACUUGUUUUAUCGACCCCAAAAGGAUAAAAGUCGACC